CCAACCAUCAGUGGCACAUGCAACUCUGCCACCCAGCCUACACAGUCAUCAGGUUAUCCAGCCUAUCAUACUCCUUCUGACUGUGUGAGAGCAAUUUGUCAGGAUCAUGAUCUUCUUCGUAUACUAGGCGGACAUCUACAGUCUUUGAGUCCUGAUGAGUUAGCAGAGGCAGUGGCGGCAGCGGCAGCAGCAGCACAGCAGCAGAAUGACGACCAGGUAUAUAUAUAUCAUUUAUUGUUUAGCUACAUUGUCUUAUAUGUUUAUAGUCUUUGAGUCACUGUCUUACUUAUAUGUUUCAAUACAUUGUCUAUUGUUUAGCUUUCCCUAAGUCGUAGCAGUAUCAACACAUGUAACAUAUAUGUUUUAUUACUUUGUUUAUUAAAGUAUCAUAAUUUGGAUGAUCC
rnacentral:lncRNA from 1 species